CCCGCCUUAGCUCAGUUUGGUAGAGCGGUCGGCUGUAGUACCCAAAUUCAAUACAAUACAGAAACCGACUGGUCCUCCGUUCAAAUCGGAGAGGCGGGA
rnacentral:tRNA from 1 species